AUACGUAGGGAGCGAGCGUUGUCCGGAAUUACUGGGUGUAAAGGGUGCGUAGGCGGGACUGCAAGUCAGAUGUGAAAUGCCGGGGCUCAACCCCGGAGCUGCAUUUGAAACUGUGGUUCUUGAGUGAGGUAGAGGUAAGCGGAAUUCCUAGUGUAGCGGUGAAAUGCGUAGAUAUUAGGAGGAACAUCGGUGGCGAAGGCGGCUUACUGGGCCUUUACUGACGCUGAGGCACGAAAGCGUGGGGAGCAAACAGGAUUAGAUACCCUGGUAGUCCACACUGUAAACGAUGAAUGCUAGGUGUAGGGGGUAUCGACCCCUUCUGUGCCGCAGUCAACACAAUAAGCAUUCCGCCUGGGGAGUACGGCCGCAAGGUUGAAACUUAAAUGAAUUGGCGGGG
rnacentral:rRNA from 1 species